rnacentral:rRNA from 1 species
UGGGGAAUAUUGGGCAAUGGGCGAAAGCCUGACCCAGCGACGCCGCGUGGGCGAUGAAGGCCUUCGGGUCGUAAAGCCCUGUCAUGUGGGAAGAACUGUUUCGUGGCUAAUACCUGCGAGAUUUGACGGUACCACAGGAGGAAGCACCGGCUAACUCCGUGCCAGCAGCCGCGGUAAUACGGAGGGUGCAAGCGUUGUUCGGAUUUAUUGGGCGUAAAGCGCGCGCAGGCGGGUUAUUAAGUCAGGUGUGAAAUCUCAGGGCUCAACCCUGAAACUGCGCCUGAAACUGAUAAUCUAGAAUGUCGGAGGGGGAAGGGGAAUUUCGCAUGUAGGGGUAAAAUCCGUAGAUAUGCGAAGGAAUACCAGAGGCGAAGGCGCCUUCCUGGACGAUGAUUGACGCUGAGGCGCGAAAGCGUGGGGAGCAAACA